AGUGAACGCUGGCGGUAGGCCUAACACAUGCAAGUCGAACGGCAGCACAGUAAGAGCUUGCUCUUCCGGGUGGCGAGUGGCGGACGGGUGAGGAAUACAUCGGAAUCUACUUUUUCGUGGGGGAUAACGUAGGGAAACUUACGCUAAUACCGCAUACGACCUACGGGUGAAAGCAGUGGAUCUUCUGACCUUGCGCGAUUGAAUGCGCCGAUGUCGGAGUAGCUGGUUGGCGGGGUAAAGGCCCACCCAGGCGACGAUCCGUAGCUGGUGUGAGAGGAUGGUCGGCCACACUGGAAGUGAGACACGGUCCAGACGCCUACGGGAGGCAGCAGUGGGGAAUGUUGGACAAUGGGCGCAAGCCUGAUCCAGCCAUACCGCGUGGGUGAAGAAGGCCUUCGGGUUGUAAAGCCCGUUUGUUGGGAAAGAAAAGCAGCAGGUUAAUACCCCGCUGUUCUGACGGUACCCAAAGAAUAAGCACCGGCUAACUUCGUG
rnacentral:rRNA from 1 species